CUCAUCACUCAUUCACCAAACCCUAAUACGCCGUUCAAUCUCUCUGCCGAUUCUCCCCUGCCUUCGAUGCACAACUGCAAACCCUAGAGGUUAUCCACAACUGUGAUCAACAUAAAUCAACAUAAUUGUCCAGUUCACCACAUAGUCGUGCCAUCUACAUUGAAAUCGACGUACACAUCAAAAACCCUAAAAGCUCCCACGUUCUUCUUCAAUCGCCUGACAAAGGAUUCCAAAAUCAAACCGAUUCACUUCCAGAGGAAGAUGGUGACGGUGGUGGUCACCUGAAGAGGGAAGAUAACAACGACAUGGGUUGAUUUAGGGUUUCUCCAUUGGUGGUCUUGUGAUGGUGGUUGUGGUUCUAGGAAAUGGCGAAAGGGCGGCAGCUAGGGUUCCACCAACACAUAAAUCUGACCGAUUUUGGUUUCGGCAGGCACUGGUCGUUUUACUUUCUUACAGGUGAAAAGCAACAGGAAAUGAAUGUGGGUCAUCUUACCUUGGAACAAGCUAGCAUUAUUGAUAGGCAUUAUUGUGACAGUUGGCCUUGGAUGGCAAGAGACACGGGAGAACUUUCAAUUCAGAUCGUUUGAACGGAAAUUUAUCAACAAAAAGUGAGCAAAAUAGCGUAUGUGGGAUGGCCCCUGAAACAUCAAAUCAUAUAUUGGUUUCUUGUGAUGUAGCGAGAACCAUUUGGUUUAUCGUAGCAUCUUUGAUAGCCAUCUUCCCAGCCAACGGUCACUAGCGAUGGAUGGUAGAACUGGUGGGUUAAAUCUGACUGGAAGUGGACGUGUGAUUCAAAUAUCCGCAGCUUUCAUGCUCUUCUUUUCGGUCUUUGGAAAAUUCGGUGCUAUUUUCACCUCCAUACCUUUGCAAAUCAUUGCGGCUUUGAACUGCGUCUUUUUCGGUUGUAUUUCUUCUGUGGGUCCAGGUCACUUGCAGUUUUGUAACCUCAACAGUUUCAGGACCAAGUUCAUUUUAGGCUUGUCUUUCUUGAUCGGACUUUCACUUCUACACUUCUUCCGCGAAAAGUGUGUAGUGUCCGAUCACGGUCCGGUGCUCACACAUUCAAGAUGGAUUUCAGAACCUUUGUUAGGUAUCGAUUUUAUGGUAUAAUGGAGGUCGUCUGUACGCCUUCUUAAGCAGAAAGAAAGAAAACAUGGGACGAGAAGAAUGAGGAAAUCAUAACUGAGGCGAAGAAGCAUCUUGAAGAGUUUUGACAAGGGGUAGAAGUAUAUAAUUAUGUAGAGUUUUUACCAUGGAUGUUU